CUCGUCGUUCGACGGUCACGUUUAGUUCGUCUCAAUAUUGACAUUUGGUUGAACAAUCUGUGAUACUUUUUUUUCUUUUAAAUGUAAUACGUAUUGAAAUUUAAUCAAACAUUUUUAAUAAUUUAGAGAAUAUGAAUGGAAUUUCGUGAAAUUCUGAUUGGAAAACAAAAUGGAAUUAAAUCUGGAUAUCUUUUAUAAUUCUUUGACUAAUAUGACACCUAUAAAUACAUAUUGAAAAGAUUAAAGAUGGAGAUUUAUGCUUUGCAUACAGUGAUUAUUAUUAUAUUAAAUUUUAUUUAUUUUUUAUUUCCAAACGAAUUUCUUAAAGAUUAAAAAAGAUUAGUUAUCUCCAAUUAUUCAAAAUAAAUAAAAAAAAUUGUGCACUAUUACUCAAAGAAAUUUUAUUUUGAUAAGAAAAUGGAAUAAUAUCUUCAAGCAAAUAGAAAAUGCAUGCACAGAUAGUCGAUCAUAGUUAAGAUCCUAGAAAUAGAAUCUUAGAAAUAUAUCCCAUCGUUUCGACAAUGCACAUAUGCACGUUCAAAGGAUCAGCUCGAUCGUCGACGACGAAUUCGCUAUCCCUCUAAAUCAGCUGGAGGAAGAGGGAAUCAAAGCGCCACAGGAAGGGAGAAUCAUCGAGACAGGAAAGGAGAGAAAUAUAGGCAUUGAGGAGAGUUCGAGCGAGAGAAAACAACAAGCAGUCGACCAACCGUGCGACAUUGAAUGAACUCGUCUCUAACUCCGAUAUGUCUUAUUUCGUUCCCUUGCCACGACUAUUCCAAUAUAUCAUCCUUUUAUUCUUUCUUCCUCUACUAACUUAUCUGUUUUAAAGAGAUUUUGAAUGUCAACUAUGAUGUCAAUGAUUUAUGUCAUAACAGUUAGCAUUUAAUUGCAGUUAUUAAAAGAUUUUAAUAUUUAUUAUUAAAGUACGAUAAUGAUUUAUCUUGAUAUAACGUUGCCUUUGAAAUACUUAUUAUAUUUUUUUUUAUUUGAUAUUCGCGUAUAUUUAAUUUUUGAUGAAUUAAGAUAAUAAAAUGAUUAUUGUCUUUUAGAAAUCUAAUAGAUUUUUUCAAAUCUAAAAUUCUGUUUUACAAAAUAUAAUAUAUUUAAUCUAAUUUAUACAUAUAUUAAAAUUAAUUUUUCCAUGUUUUGAAUUUAAAAGCAAAUAUUAACCAGUUGUUUCGAAUUGUGAAUUAGGAAAGUAUUUGAUUUUGAUCUUCGAGAUUAUAGGACUUCGAUAAAGGGAUAUCAGACGGCAGAUUACGCAAAAGAAGAAGUUGAGAUGUGGAAAUAAAAAAGCGUUGGAACGGUUGGCAUCUGUUUCACGCGCAUGCUAGCCUCGCUCGUGACGUCAGAGGGUGAAAAAUCAAUCCACCCUUGUACAGUGCGGCAAGAUAGGAUUGUAUAUCUGGCGGUCACAGUCGCCAUCAUUAAAUUAACCGAAUUAAUUGUACUUGUCUAAUCGAUCGCCCUUGGGCCAAUUUUCAGUUUUAGAAUUCUAACGAUCGACGAUGUUUCGGAGAUUUCUUUUUGGAUUUUUAAGAGAUGCAGAGAUAAUCACAUAUUGAAAUAUUUGACAGAAUAAGGAAUGUCUUGAAUAUCGCAAAGAGACGAUGAUAGAGAAUCUUAAUCUUAGGAAAGGUGACUAGGGUUGCUUAAACUAGAAAAGGAAAAGGAAGAAGUGGAUAACCUAGUUGUUACUCGAUGCAACGUGGCAAAAAGACUUCCAAGGAUUGGAAUACUAUUUUUGCUUACAUUUGUAAACUCAUUUUAUAAAAGUUUCGCAAUGAAAUUGGCAAAGAGUCUGGGAACUAUGAUUUGCUUCAAGAAAUUAUAUUGCUUGUAAUAUUGUAAAAUUGAAAUCAGAAUUGAAACGACUGUCGCAUAGGUAAAGAAAACAUGAAACAUUUCGUUAUGCAAUCCAUUCAAAUAGUACUAUUUAAUCGAUUAAUUAAUUGUUCGUUCCAGCUCGUUAAGACACACAUCCAUGUAAUUGGAAUAAUGCUUAUAUAAUGCAUUACUUCUUAAGAAAACUUAAGAAAAAUGUCCAUUUUAGCGUAAUGCAUAAAUUUCAAAUUGCGUGAUAUAGAAGGCUAUAGAAAACGGCUAGGAAAAUAUAUUCCAAUGAAUUUUAUUAAUCGCGGAAUGCUUUAUUCCAUUUCAAUCGCGAUGCACCUUUUGCGCAGUAAUUGAAUUGAAACGCUGACGUCGAAUGUUUCAAUGACUUCGAGAUGUUGCGCCUUCUUGCAUCCUUUUAUGCAUUUUAUAUUUUCUUUUUGUUAGAAAUAACAAAACAAAGGUUAUAAAUCUAGUAAAACUUUGGUAAUUUCAUUAUCUGAAUAUUAAAGCAAAUUGCAAUUUCUUUGCAAUUUUUUUUCAUUCAAAUUAAAAUAUCAUAGUAAAGUUUAAAAUGUAAAAAUUCCUUUGAGAUUUGAGGUGAUAUUUUCUAUAUUCUAUAGUGAUGAAACGCUUACCUGUUAUCCACGACACGUUUUCACCGUCGAUCCCGAAAAAACGCACUUUUUUCUGCGCUCCUCACGAACGAUGCUGCACCUUCGCAUGAUAAUUGACAACAACUGUUUUUCCUUUGUGCCAACUACAACUGUCGUGGAUCUUAUACUCGAUGUUGACGCGAUUCACGGCUACGAGCAAACAAUCCGCAAGAUUACAGCCGAAAGGGAUUUCUGCAUUGCUGUUGUGCCUCAGCUUGGGCUACCAUUAGCUCAUCAAGUCCGUUAAACGAACACGAAAGAAGACAGACACUGAGGUGGACUUAAGUGUUUGAAGUUGAUUGUUAAGUAACACAGUUUAAAUUGUGUAUAGGACUGAUAAACGCAACAACUUGGAACAUGUUGCAAUACGUCUAACUGAUCGUCGUAUUAAGAUCGAAUAUGUAUUUAUUUUUUAUUUAAUCGAUAUAUUUAAGUCGGUUUUUAUUUAUUAAUUAUUCGUUUAUUUAAUCAACUACAAAAUAAAUAUUUUUGGGGAUAUAAGACA